GACGAACGCUGGCGGUAUGCUUAACACAUGCAAGUUGAACGAGAAGUUUUUUAUUGAACCUUCGGGGGAUAUAAGAGACAGACAGUGGCGAACGGGUGAGUAACGCGUGGGCAACCUACCUAUCGGAGCGGGAUAGCCUCGAGAAAUCGGGAGUAAAACCGCAUAACACGGAUAUAUCGCAUGAUGAAUCCGUCAAAACUCCGGUGCCGAUAGAUGGGCCCGCGUCUGAUUAGCUAGUUGGUAAGGUAAGGGCUUACCAAGGCAACGAUCAGUAGCCGGUCUGAGAGGGCGAACGGCCACACUGGAACUGAGACACGGUCCAGACUCCUACGGGAGGCAGCAGUGGGGAAUAUUGCGCAAUGGGGGCAACCCUGACGCAGCAAUACCGCGUGAGUGAAGAAGGUUUUCGGAUCGUAAAGCUCUGUUAUUGGGGAAGAAGCAGGACGGUAC
rnacentral:rRNA from 1 species